rnacentral:rRNA from 1 species
UACGUAGGGCGCAAGCGUUUAUCCGGAAUUAUUGGGCGUAAAGAGCUCGUAGGCGGUUUGUCGCGUCUGCCGUGAAAAGUCCGGGGGCUCAACUCCGGAUCUGCGGUGGGUACGGGGCAGACUAGAGUGAUGUAGGGGGAGACUGGAAUUCCUGGUGUAGCGGUGAAAAUGCGCAGAUAUCAGGAGGAACACCGAUGGCGAAGGCAGGUCUCUGGGCAUUAACUGACGCUGAGGAGCGAAAAGCAUGGGGGAGCGAACAGG